GAUGAACGCUGGCGGCGUGCUUAACACAUGCAAGUCGAACGGAAAGGCCGAAGCUUGCUUCGGUACUCGAGUGGCGAACGGGUGAGUAACACGUGGGUGAUCUGCCCUGUACUUCGGGAUAAGCUCGGGAAACUGGGUCUAAUACCGGAUAUGACAAUCUCUUGGAUGGGGCUGUGGAAAGCGUUUGCGGUAUGGGAUGGGCUCGCGGCCUAUCUGCUUGUUGGGGGGGUAAUGGCCUACCAAAGGGUCUACGGGGAACCGGGCUUGGAGGGUGUACGGCCACAGUGGGGCUGGGAAAAGGCCCAGACCUCUACGGGGAGCAGGAGGGGGGAAUAUUGGAAAAAUGGCGCGAGCCCGAUGCAGCGACGCCGCGUGGGGGGUGACGGGCUUCGGGUUGGAAACUCCUUUCGCCCCCGAAGGAGCUUUUUGUGACGGUAGGUGGAAAAGAAGCACCGGCUAACUACGUG
rnacentral:rRNA from 1 species